rnacentral:rRNA from 1 species
UGGGGAAUUUUGGACAAUGGGGGAAACCCUGAUCCAGCCAUCCCGCGUGUGCGAUGAAGGCCUUCGGGUUGUAAAGCACUUGUGGCAGGAAAGAAACGUCAUGGGUUAAUACCCCGUGAAACUGACGGUACCUGCAGAAUAAGCACCGGCGAACUACGUGCCAGCAGCCGCGGUAAUACGUAGGGUGCAAGCGUUAAUCGGAAUUACUGGGCGUAAAGCGUGCGCAGGCGGUUCGGAAAGAAAGAUGUGAAAUCCCAGAGCUCAACUUUGGAACUGCAUUUUUAACUACCGGGCUAGAGUGUGUCAGAGGGAGGUGGAAUUCCGCGUGUAGCAGUGAAAUGCGUAGAUAUGCGGAGGAACACCGAUGGCGAAGGCAGCCUCCUGGGAUAACACUGACGCUCAUGCACGAAAGCGUGGGGAGCAAACAGG